UUAAUAAUAAUGUAAUUUAAACUGUUCAAAUUUUGUAAAUUUGAAAUAUAUUUUAAA
rnacentral:tRNA from 1 species